rnacentral:sRNA from 1 species
GCUGGGCAUGGUGGCACAUGCCUAUAAUUCCAGUGACUCAGGAGGCUGAGGCAGAAGCAUCACAAGUUCAAGGACAGCCUGGGCAGCUUAGUGAGAUUCUGUCUCAA